GGAUAAAUGUAUAGUUCUACUUUGAGGGAAUUAAAACACAUAAAUACUCUUGUGGGAAGGACCUGACCAUCAAAAACAUGUCCACCGGUACACCUCUUACGAGCCCCAUCCUGGUAACAUUAAAAGAUGGAAUAAAAGCUUCAUAACCUUUUCCAAUAAGGCAUGAUGUUUUAAGAAAGAAUUUGCAGCUGAGUGACUUGUGAAUGCCAUUGAAAUUUUGUUGCGACCGAUACGCUUCAAACUGCCUUGUACUAUGUUUGGCACCUGGUUUUUAUACAAAAAUCUGCCAAAGCAUAUUGGAUGCAAAUUAAGAUCCUGUGUUACCUCUCCUGUACUAGACCUAGCAACAUGAAUGAUAAAUGGUGAAGCAUCCAAUGCAGUAUAUUCUUUUCUAAUACUAUCAGAUAUAUUGGGAGGUAACUGGGAGGCCUGAGAUGGAAGAACUUGUGUAUGCGGUGCUAUAAGAGGUGAUGGAUUUUCAGUGAUUUUUUCGUCACUGUCUUCACAACGACAUCCACUUCUACCUGAAUCUACAGCCAUUGCAUUUUUGCGUUUUUUUUUAUUACAUGUUUUGCACACCUUAUUUAAUCGUA